GAAUCUUUCGUACUUAUGGCUGUCGAAAAAAACUCGCUAGGGAGCUCUCGCCCUUUCUAAGCGGCUCCCCUUCGUCUUCGGCCAACCGACCGGAGGUUACCGAGAUGUCUGCCGACGCCCCUCCCACCCCCGGCGGGAUCGAUCUCGGCCAAGCCCACCUCCACGAUCGCUUUCCUUCUCCCUCCUCCCUUCGCCUCAAAGAAGCCCUCAAUUCCUGCUCCCAGUCCUUCGAAACUGGCGAUUUUGGCAAGUCCGACACGGCCGUCACUGCCGUAGUCGACCUCCUUAAUUCCAUCGUCGAGCCUCCGCUGUCCGAUUGGGAGAAUGCCACUCCUUGCAAGAGAGCCUCGGAGGAGGCACUUGUCGAGAUCCAGAGCUAUCUCUCAUCCCCUUCUUCGAAUCAGAUGGCUGUUGAUGCACUCUCUCUCGAGCUGCCGAAAGUGGUGGCAAAGUUUGCAGCUUUGUCGGAUAGGUGUCGGGAGAUCGCGGAAAGCAUUAUCGACUUCCUCGUGUCCAGCUGUAGCCCACGCGACAUGCUUUCGAUUCUUUGUGAGGCAAUAGAUGCCCAUAUCAGAGAGUCACAAGAACAGACUUAUUUUAUUCUUCUCUUGAGCAGGCUCUCGAAAGUGUUAGAUCACACUCAGAGGCGUCAUGUUGAGCAAGUAAAGGUGGCGAUCCCUGUUAUUUUGAAAGUUUUGAAUGCGAUCUCAUCAGUGUCUAAUGAUGAAGAUAAAGAUUCCCUCAAUGAUUUGUUUGGUGCAGCGAUAAGCAUAGGCACAUCCAUUCAAGCAAUUUGUGAAAAAAUGGUGGGAACUAGACAGGAAGAACUUUGUGCUAUACUUGGUCUUUAUGUCCUACAAAACAUGGCUCUUAUAUCCAAAAGUAUACAAUCACAUGUUGUUUCAAGCUGCCGUUCGCUUGUUUUACAAUUUUCCAAGUUCCUCCCAUUUUGUGAGCUCUCCUAUUUUGGCCUGAUAACUGGAUGUGAUGUGGCUUCAAUUACUGAUGAGGUCUCUAAAGAGGAUGGCGAUGACUUCAUGGCCUGCUUUUCCUUUGUCAUGAGUGGAGCAACUCUUGCAGUGAUUUGGGGCCAUAUCUCUGAUGAAAUUGCAAAAGCUGCUGGAGAACAGUUAAUUUCUGUCCUGAACAAAAUCCGAAAUGAUCGUACUGUAAGGUGGCAAGCUAUUGGGAUGUUCAAAUAUAUACUCUCCUCCAUUGAUUAUCCCUGGGAAAUAAAAUCUCACAGUGUAGAGUUACUGUUGUGUAUGAUGGAAGGAAUUAAUUCAGAAGAGUCCAGUGAUAACCAUACGGAUUUCUCUUGCUUUAUGCCCAGUCUUUUUUCUUCUCUCCAGGCUGUUGAAAGAAUAAUGAUUGGCGCUUCAGAUGCUUCAUUACGGAAGAAAGCUUAUUCUGCAUUAAGAAAAGUAGUCUCAGAUAUCCCAUCUUCUCACCGAUUUGACAUUUUAAGGGCUCUUAUUACAAAUAGCAACUCGCCUUCCAUGAUUGCAAUUCUUAUUGAUCUUGUGAAGGAGGAAAUUCUCAAGGAAGUUCAUCAAAGUGACAUGUCUGAAGAUAAUAAAAUCAUUCACAUACAAAAUACAAAUGCAGGUUCUCCAUUUUGGAGCUCUCAUGCCCUUGACAUAGUGGAGCUGAUGCUGAAGCCUCCUAAAGGGGGUCCUCCUCCCCUCCCUGAGCAUAGUGAGCCGUUCUUAACUUAGGCCUCUCUAUCGAAGGUUCUCCAUUCUGAAGGGAUAAUGAUGAGUUCUUCGAUUCGCUAGAAGCCAUGGGCCUACACAGAUAAUAAAACUUCUCCCAGGUACUCGCUGCUCUCAACUUGUUCAGGUUUAUUUUGAUAACAGAAUCUACAGGAAAAACAAACCACACUGGUAUCCUCUCAGCAAAUACGUUGCAUAAAGCUUAUUCAGAGUGGCUCCUACCUCUACGAACAUUGGUCACAGGAAUUCGAGCAGAAAAUGAGAAAGAUGACAGUGAGAUUGCGGAUCACAUUCUUUGUGCUUUAAAUCCUGUUCAGCUGGUAUUAUAUCGUUGUAUUGAAUUGGUUGAAGACAAGCUGAAACAUUCUGCAUAGGUUUAAUUUAUAUAAAGAUCUACGGACUUGUUUCCAGUUUUGUCACCUUUACAUUUCGUGCUUAUUGUCAGUAACAAACACCAAAAUCUUUACACCUCUCUGUACCAUUAAACAAAAUCUUUUAGCAUACAAUAGAUUUUGACAUUAGAUUUCUAUUCA